rnacentral:rRNA from 1 species
GUAGGUGGCAAGCGUUGUCCGGAAUUAUUGGGCGUAAAGCGCGCGCAGGCGGUCCCUUAAGUCUGAUGUGAAAGCCCACGGCUCAACCGUGGAGGGUCAUUGGAAACUGGGGGACUUGAGUACAGAAGAGGAAAGCGGAAUUCCACGUGUAGCGGUGAAAUGCGUAGAGAUGUGGAGGAACACCAGUGGCGAAGGCGGCUUUCUGGUCUGUAACUGACGCUGAGGCGCGAAAGCGUGGGGAGCAAACAGGGAUUAGAUACCCUGGUAGUCCACGCCGUAAACGAUGAGUGCUAAGUGUUAGGGGGUUUCCCGCCCCUUAGUGCUGCAGCUAACGCAUUAAGCACUCCGCCUGGGGAGUACGGCCGCAAGGCUG